UGAGAAACAUAUUUCUUUUGUGUAGGCCACGGGUUUUGGCCAUUUUCAACGCCAAAACCUGUGGAACAAUAGCAAGGAGAAGCCAAAAAAGAAUAGAACUCGCACGGGUUUGGAGCUAUUUUUUAUUUUCCCAACAUCAAGAGCAAUUUUCAACAAUGGCACCCCGUCGAACGGGUAAGGUUUGAUUUGUUUGAUUAUUUUUCUUUGCAUUUUAAUUAAAUUAGGGUUUUUUAAUUUAUUUAAGUUUUGUUUUUAUUAAUUUGAUGUCAAAUUCUUCAAGCAAUCCCCAAAAACGAAAUAGACAACAAAGACCUCUUCCUACACAAGCAACACAAGAAAACCCUAUUAACAUUGCACAAGAGCAACAAGAAAACCCUCAAAGUCCUGAAAAUGUUGCUCUUCAACAACCACCGCCACCCCGAAACCCUCCACAUCCUCCAUUAGAUCAUGUAGAUGUCACACAAGAUGAUCUCAUCAAUCGCCUUACACAAAAUAGUGCCCAAAUUUCUAUAUUGGUGAAUAGAUUGAGGGCCUCUAGGCUUGAGCACCACUCAACCCUUGCCAGAACACUAGAAACAAUGGCUAAUAGUGCAAAUGAGGUAUCUAGGGAGGUUACGAAAUGGGGUUCAUGGAGGGAUAGAUGUCGAACAUUUUAUGCGGAUGGGUUGUCAUAUGAUCAAGUGAAGAAAAAGGGCAUAGGUAAAGCUGACAUAUGUGCUAUUUUCAUCGAUCCCGUUAUCAUUAACAACCUAGAACUAAAUACGACUCGGUUUCCUAUACAUUGGUGUGUUCAUGCUAGGUUGAAAGAAGCUUUUUAGGAUAGGUGGUAUAUGGUCUUUGACCAACCACCUUGUAAUAAUUGGGAGGUGCCUUUAUAUUUUUUUGAGAAAGUUGUAUUGUGAGUUUGUCCUCGGCGAGAAGCCGAAUUAAUUUGACAUCCGACAAUUUCAGGGUAGAGGGAGAGGCUCUGCGUAGGAUAGACCUAGGGCCCAUAGGAUGGUAGACCCACAACAUAGGAGGCGUACAGCUCUUAAACACAUGGUUCAUGUCAUUGUCCCUAUAUCCUUGAAGGAAUCUAUGGAAUUACAAACUCUUCAGGCAGCUACAUCAUUGACUGAUGUCAUUGUUCAGCAUGGCACACAGCUGGUUGGAGCAGAGGAUGUACCAGCACCUGCAGCACCUCCUUCAUCAGCUACACCUCCUUCAUCAGCAACACCUCCUUCCUCAACGGCACCUCCUUCAUCAGCAGCACCUCAUGCAUCAUUUGGCACGAGCCAACCCAUUCAGCAUAUGUGCCCACCUGCCAGGGUGUCUGUUUUGGGGUAGACACUAACGCGGAUGAGGAUGGUGGGACAUCUCAUUCGUGUACAUGUUGCAGGAGUAGAUGCCAUGCUUCCACUGCAUAGGAUGUGGCCCUCACCGACAAACUGCUCAAUAUGUUGUACCCUCUCUAUCAGACACAGGGUGCAAUAGGUGGUGGGAGUAUACCACAUACUGUUCAGUUGACUCCACGGUCACAAGUAGUUUCGCCACCAGAGGGCUUAUCAGUGGCUGAGAUGUCCCAACUUGAUGAUAUCACGCUUUCAGCCAUUGACUUUGGCCAAGAUAGCUAUGCGUUUACCCCACUUGCCUCAAGGACAUCUCGUGUCAGAAAGCCAUCCUCUAGCACUUCGAGGUAGAAAAAUAUAUCCUCUCGGACACCCAAACGACAUAAGAAACAUAUGGGGUUUACGGAAUUAAUGAAUGCACCUGAUGUUGAUGAGGUUCAACAGAGGGAAGAGGCCCCUUCCAAACUUCCUACUGUUAUUCUACCAUUCCAUUUCAAUAGAAGUCCUACACAUAUAUUAUAGGAUCCAACACGACCAAGGCAAAAGGAAAUGGUCGUAACUGAUCCAUCUGUGACUUUGCCUCCUACGACCACAUCACAUCCAUCUGAGGCUCCGUUACAGCCUCCUUCAGGACAUCCCACGGAUCUUCAGCCUCACCGAAUUGCAGAAGACAGAGAUGAGCCACCUGCAGAGUCACGUACUGCUUCGAAGAGGCUCGAUUUUGAUGAUCCGCCAGAGUCAUAGAUACCGCUAGAGACAUAUAGUCAUAGUUGUGGUCAUUGAAGGACCAAUUUUUUAUAUAUUCGACAUUUGUAUAUGUAUAUAUCGACUUUGACAGACAUGGCACAUGCCACAUUUUUGUAACUAUUAUUGAUUUGGCAUCUGUGCCAUUUUUUGAUAUAUGUACACGAUUAUUGUUCAUUUUUAUAAAUAUGAAACUUGAUAUUCGAUCCAA